GCGGAAGUGGCGGAAUUGGUAGACGCACCAGAUUUAGGUUCUGGCGCCGCAAGGUGUGAGAGUUCAAGUCUCUCCUU
rnacentral:tRNA from 1 species